UGGGACAAGAGAGGUACCCAAGUUAGUGGUCUCUUCCUAGCUUUACCAGGGACUUGCUGCUGGGCUGCAGGGAGAUGCUUUCUUCUUAAAGGCAUAGAGCCUUUGGUGACAGAGCUAACAAGGAAUUGCAGAAGGGGAGAGCUGGAGGGGACCUUAAAAGGAUUUGAAUUUCUGCAGUUUCAACCCCUUCCCCUUCAAGCUGCUGUGGUUGAAGGUUGUCACUUGCUUCUGCUGCCCACCUCCGUGGAGGAUAGGGUGGUCACCCCCUUCCGCACACCUGGAUUCGCUGCGGAAGGGCUGGGGGACAAGGAUUGCUCGGUCCUCAGAGCUUGCUGAGCACAUCUUUCCAGGUGGAUUUUGGAAGAAGAUGGAGUGUGUCUGGAGGGGGGAAUAGAAGAGGCGCAUCCCCAAGCCUGCGCGUGGCGGGAUGAAGAUGCGAGGGUUUGUGCGUGACUGGGUGCAUUAUAAAUGGAAACGUGUGGCUGUGUGGCCGGCGUGGGCGAGGGGCUGGGCACGCGGGUGAGUGUGAGCCUGUGCCGAGGGGGACAGAUGUGUGUGGGAUGGCUCUGCGUGAAGCUAUAUUAAAAAUAUGAGCAAGGCAGACUCUGGUGCUUCAGAUGCUCAGGCUUUGCUUCAAAGGGGGACGGAGACGGUGCUGGAGGGCAGGGCUGAGCCUGAGACGUCUCAAAUUCAUUUCACUUCUGCCCCCCUCCUGCUUUUGGAAUGGGUCAGCAGGGAUUGCACGUGGGACGGACAGGCUUUCACCCACCCAAUUUGUACGUACAGAGCCUGAACCUGUCCCUGCUUCUGACGGUUGGACUUGAUCUUAAAGGUUUUUUCCAACCUAAACAAUUCUGUGAUUCUAUGCUUACAGCCAUGGUUUUUUUUGGACUGAGCUGCCACUCACGCAGCAGUGAGACCUGUUGUUAAUGUGGGGGACAACCUCAGAGCAACAGCCCCCCCCCCCCAAGAUACCCAGGUGAUGCUCAUAUCAAUGCUCCCAUUUACAGCCUCUGCCAGGUGCUUGGUUCCUCCCCCUGGGUGGAGCUGGUGGGUUUUAAGAAUGGGGCACAGACAAGCUGGGGCUCUUUUUUAAUUUUUUUUUUUUUUAAUUUUUAUUUGUUUUUUUUUUUUUUUUUUUUUUUUCCUGAGACCAUGCUUGGUGGGGGGCAGGUUUGGCACUGCCUGCUGUGAAGCACCCUGUUAAUGGGGGAUGCGACUCUCCGGUGAAGUGGGUGGUAGAGUCAGACUGGUAAGAGGAAAACCCUUUUUGAUGGCUGCGUAGAUUGGGAACUCCUUGCUGGGGGAGU